rnacentral:rRNA from 1 species
AACGAACGCUGGCGGCGUGGCUAAGGCAUGCAAGUCGAACGAACCUAACUGAUGGGCAACCAAAGGGUAGGUUAGUGGCGAACGGGUGAGGAAUACAUGGAUAACGUGCCCCGGACUCAGGGAUAGCGUUGCGAAAGCGGCGGUAAUACCUGAUGACCCCGUAGGAUCGCAUGAUCCCGCGGGCAAGGCUCCGGCGGUCUGGGAGCGGUUCAUGUCCUAUCAGCUAGUGGCGGGGUAACGGCCCACCAAGGCUGCGACGGGUACCGGGCGUGAGAGCGCGACCCGGCACAUCGGAACUGAGACACGGUCCGGACACCUACGGGUGGCUGCAGCAACGAAUAUUCCGCAAUGGACGAAAGUCUGACGAGCGACGCCGCGUGGAGGAUGAAGU